rnacentral:rRNA from 1 species
UCGGGAAUUUUGGGCAAUGGGCGAAAGCCUGACCCAGCAACGCCGCGUGAAGGAUGAAGUAUUUCGGUAUGUAAACUUCGAAAGAAUAGGAAGAAUAAAUGACGGUACUAUUUGUAAGGUCCGGCUAACUACGUGCCAGCAGCCGCGGUAAUACGUAGGGACCAAGCGUUGUUCGGAUUUACUGGGCGUAAAGGGUGCGUAGGCGGCAUAUCAAGUCACUUGUGAAAUCUCCGGGCUUAACUCGGAACUGCCAAGUGAUACUGAUGUGCUAGAGUGCAGAAAGGGCAACUGGAAUUCUUGGUGUAGCGGUGAAAUGCGUAGAUAUCAAGAGGAACACCUGAGGCGAAGGCGAGCUGCUAGGCUGACACUGACGCUGAGGUACGAAAGCUAGGGGAGCGAACGGGAUUAGAUACCCAAGUAGUCCCUGAGCGGGCUGGCAAGGCGCAU